rnacentral:rRNA from 2 species
UUCGAAGGGAUAGGGUCGGUUCGGCCGGAUUUCACACAGGUGUUGCAUGGCUGUCGUCAGCUCGUGUCGUGAGAUGUUGGGUUAAGUCCCGCAACGAGCGUAACCCUCAUCCUUAGUUACCAUCAGGUAAUGCCGGGGACUUUAAGGAAACUGCUAGUGAUAAACUGGAGGAAGGUGGGGAUGAUGUCAAGUCAUCAUGGCCCUUAUGGAGUGGGCUACACACGUGCUACAAUGGUGGCUACAAUGGGCUGCAAAGUCGCGAGGCUAAGCUAAUCUCUUAAAAGCCAUCUCAGUUCGGAUUGUACUCUGCAACUCGAGUGCAUGAAGUUGGAAUCGCUAGUAAUCGUGGAUCAGCAUGCCACGGUGAAUACGUUCUCGGGUCUUGUACACACUGCCCGUCACGCCAUGGGAAUUG